AUUACCUUAACCUUUGUGCGUGAAUCACAAAUAGAGAAGAAAAAGUAGAAUAGUUGUUCGGUGAUCUUGAUUCCAUAUAUUUUAGACCAUGCACUAUUUUAAAAAUUUUUGAUAGUUUGAUAGCACAAAUUUAGUGGUAGAUAAAGGUUUUUCUAAUUCUCUGGAAAAACUACGUUACAGUAUAUUAGACGAUUUUAUUAGUUCAAGAUCACACUUGUUGCUCCUGUGAUGAUUGAGAGGGACUUUUCCGAAUGAGGAUUUCUGCAGGAAAACAGAAGGAGCAGCAUUCGAAGAUGUAUGUUCCCAGUACCUAGACGUUGAAUAGAUCGUCUGGGGCUGGGAGUAUAUUUUUGAUGUUGCUUCGAUCGACGUGGCUACAAGAAAACGCAGCGUACAAAUUCGCACGAAGAAACCAAAUUCAUUUUUUCCCUGGCAAAAUGCAUCUUUGUCCUUUUU